rnacentral:tRNA from 1 species
GGGAUUGUAGUUCAAUCNGUUAGAGCACCGCCCUGUCAAGGCGGAAGCUGCGGGUUCGAGCCCCGCCAGUCCNG